UGGGAAUCGUGGUUCCUACCGCCAAUGGAUUGCAGUUUCUCACCGGUUCCCAAAGCCAAGCAUGAGGACAUGAGACUUUAUACAACCUGCUAAAAAUGAGCUAUUGCAACCUACACAUCUAGAAAUAAACCAUCCUAGCCACGAGAGAUCAGAUGAAACAAGACCAGAGACUCAUUUCCUUGUAAAAUACUUUCUCCAAAAGAUUUUUAAAAAGAAAAGGGGGGAAAUGUGAAAGGAAAAUAUCUUGGCCCCCUCAAGCUGGGAACCACUCAGGGCAAAUCUGCCUCCCAUUCUAUUCAAAGUCAUCUUUCUGCUCACAGAGAUAGAUGCAUAUUCUGAUUGCUUCCUUUGGAAAUACUUAACAGAAACUCAAAAAAAUGCAACCAUCUAUCUCUCACCUACCUGUGACGUGGAAGCCCCCAGUUGGGGGGGCCUUACUUUGAAUUGUCUCCACCUUUCUGGAUGGAACUGAUGUACUUCUUGCAUAUAUUGAUUGAUGUCUCAUGUGUCCCUAAAAUGUAUAAAACCAAGCUGUGCCCCAAUCACCUUGGGCACAUGUCUUCAGGACCUCCUGAGGCUGUGUCAUGGCCACAUCCUCAACCGUGGCAAGAUAAACUUUCUAAAUUAACUGAGACCUGUCUCAAAUUUUUGGGGUUCAGAAUCCAUAAGUCUUUUUUUAUUUCUUGAUGAUUAAAGUCACAUGAACUAAA
rnacentral:lncRNA from 10 species